UACAAAGGGUGCAAGCGUUGUUCGGAAUUAUUGGGCGUAAAGAGCGUGUAGGCGGUUCGGUAGGUCCGUUGUGAAAACUUGAGGCUCAACCUCGAGACGCCGAUGGAAACCAUCGAACUAGAGUCCGGAAGAGGAGAGUGGAAUUCCUGGUGUAGCGGUGAAAUGCGCAGAUAUCAGGAAGAACACCCGUGGCUAAGGCGGCUCUCUAGUACGGUACUGACGCUGAGACGCGAAAGCGUGGGGAGCGAACAGG
rnacentral:rRNA from 1 species